CUCAUUCAGUACCAGCCAAUUCUAGACCAAGUCUGAAAAGACGUUUAAAAACGUCUUUGGGAUUAAAAAAAAUAAAAAAAAUGUGCCGAGGGUCCGCAAAGCUACAUGUUGUCCAGCGACGGUGAGAUUUUAUUUUUGAUUGUACAUAAGCUACAGAAAUGAAUUAUCCGCUCAAGUGAAACCCCUGUAAAACGUUUAUUUAUCUGGAUCAGAUGGUUGAUUUGCUGAGGAUGUGUAUAUCUCUAUAUCGAAAGCUAUAUAUACAUAUAUUCUGUUCCAAACACAAAAACAAAAAAAAACUACUGUCCUAAAUGAAGGACAGGCAUUUUCAAGUUGACUAUCGUGUUGCCGUUUUUUUUUUGUUUGUUGCCGCCCCGCCACACACCCCCUUCUCAAAGUGUGAUCAUCAUUUCCUCGUCCGGUACUUGUCGCAAACCAAUCAACGAUAUGCAGAGCUUUCAGAUAGUUUUCUGUUUUUCAAUAUUUUGUUUUUGGUAUGGAAUCGUUUCAAAUGAACACAUACAGCAUAUAACCGUUUUUUUUUCUUUCCAGAGCAGUUACCUUCAGUUCAUUCCAUUAAAAAGUGAUCGACAUGCAAUCGCCUCGGGAUUGGACGAACUGCAGCUAUCGCCCGAUGAUCCCUAGUAUUCAUUCUCACGCGGACUAAAUUGGCAAUAGCGCAUUUUCUCCCGACUGAGGUGUUUUGCGUGUCCUAUUCUGUGGUUCGCAUUUGUGUAAAUAUACAUUCUCGAGUUUGAUCCUGAUGAAAAAAAAAAUCCAAUCAAGGAAACUGUGUACAGUCUAUGUGUCUAACGCCGUUUCCUGUAUAGCUAUUUUAUAUUUUUAUAAUAAAGAUUGAAUGAAUAUGA